GGGCCCGCACAAGCGGUGGAGCAUGUGGUUUAAUUCGAUGCAACGCGAAGAACCUUACCUACUCUUGACAUCCAGAGAAGCCAGCGGAGACGCAGGUGUGCCUUCGGGAGCUCUGAGACAGGUGCUGCAUGGCUGUCGUCAGCUCGUGUUGUGAAAUGUUGGGUUAAGUCCCGCAACGAGCGCAACCCUUAUCCUUGUUUGCCAGCGAGUAAUGUCGGGAACUCCAGGGAGACUGCCGGUGAUAAACCGGAGGAAGGUGGGGACGACGUCAAGUCAUCAUGGCCCUUACGAGUAGGGCUACACACGUGCUACAAUGGCGUAUACAGAGGGCAGCAAGCUAGCGAUAGUGAGCGAAUCUCAUAAAACUGUUCGUAGUCCGGAUUGGAGUCUGCAACUCGACUCCAUGAAGUCGGAAUCGCUAGUAAUCG
rnacentral:rRNA from 1 species